GAGGAUGUCUAUGAAGAACUGAACGAAGGUGAAAGAAAUGGAGAAGUGGGAGAAGACCAGCCUGGAGGAAGAGAUGGGGACCAGCCUGUCUAUGUGCCUCUGCAGAGAGCUACAGAAGAUGUUUAUGAGAAACUUACUGUGACAAACUGAAAUAAGGAAG